GACGAACGCUGGCGGCGUGCUUAACACAUGCAAGUCGAACGGUAAGGCACUUCGGGGUACACGAGUGGCGAACGGGUGAGUAACACGUGGGUGAUCUGCCCUGCACUUCGGGAUAAGCCUGGGCAACUGGGUCUAAUACCGGAUAGGACCACUGCCUGCAUGGGUGGUGGUGGAAAGCUUUUGCGGUGUGGGAUGGGCCGGCGGCCUAUCAGCUUGUUGGUGGGGUGGUGGCCUACCAAGGGGACGGCGGGUAGCCGGCCUGGGAGGGUAACCGGGGACACUGGGACUGGGAGACGGCACAGACUCCUACGGGAGGCAGCAGUGGGGAAUAUUGCAGAAUGGGUGCAGGACUGAUGCAGUGACGCCGCGUGAGGGAUGACGGCCUUCGGGUUGUAAGCCUCUUUCAGCGCCGACGAAGCGCAAGUGACGGUAGGUGCAGAAGAAGGACCGGCCAACUACGUGCCAGCCGCCGCCGUAA
rnacentral:rRNA from 1 species